rnacentral:lncRNA from 1 species
UAUAAUAAACUAUUAUAUAAUUAUAUAAAAGCCGUAUAUAUUAUAAUUGGCAAUUACAUAAAAGCCAUAUAUAUUAUAAUUUAUAAUUAUAUAAAACCACAUAUAAAUUUUUAUUUAUUAAAAUAUGAGCACGUCAACAGACUUAAAAAUAAUGCGUAGACAAUGAUUCUAACAUAAAUUGUUCAAUUUAGUCCUCGGUCAUUCUGAAAAAUUCCCGAGUAGUCUCAAUUGUCGAUUUUCGGACGGAGUCGAUGUCAUCUGAAAGCUGGUGAUGAAGGGAGUUCAUCCAUGAAUUCAGAGCAGCCAUAACUUCGCCGGAGAUGGCCAGAAAAGUCCAAAAAUCCAAUUGCCUAUACAAACUUUUCUUUGCCAGAAAUCUCUUCUCCGGCCACCAUUAUCAUGGCUGCUACCCCUAUAUGAAAGCCCAAUCUCAGACAAGAUGAUCACCACUAAAAUCGGUGGUUGUAGUUGCCGAAAAUGCUAGAAAUAACGUCAAGAAAUUGUUAUCCUUUCUCGCUAUUUUCUGCCGUCCACCGCUGCUGUCGCCACCUUCAAGCUCGCCGUCGCCUCCUCUUCCUCCAACCAGCUUCCCCGCCUCUCAAACCAACUCCUCCACCAUCUGCCAUUAAAAGCAGCCUAGCUCUCUCUCUCCUCCUUUUUUCUUUUUUUCCUUCUUCUUCGACCCAUAUCUAUAUUUAAUCCCCCUUUUUAUCGUUUUAAUAUAUUUGGUCUUGGU